rnacentral:tRNA from 1 species
CGGGGCGUAGCGUAGCCUGGUAGCGCGCUUGUUUCGGGUACAAGAGGUCGCAGGUUCGAAUCCUGUCGCCCCGACCA